AUCCACCUGAUGAGUCUCAAAUAGGACGAAGCGCGCGUACUGGAU
rnacentral:hammerhead_ribozyme from 1 species